CCGAAGCUGUUUUUUCCCAGCCCGUAAUUUUCCCACUUUUCCACGUUACAUUCGCCACUCGCCUUUUUACAUGCAAUAUUAAAACCUUUUAUUUUAUUGUUGUUGAACUUUUUGAAAUUUGUCCAGUAUUAAUAUGUUCUGUUCUUUUUAUUACAAGUGGUAAAAAUUAAGAUCUCGGAAGAAAUCAUGGACUUUUGGGCCUG
rnacentral:lncRNA from 1 species